AGUACGUGCCGGCCGAGCCGCAGAUCACCAUUCUGAAGCGGCCCGACCCGGGUCUCGGCGGCCGGCCGGCCCAGGGCGAGCGUGCUCGUCAGCCGGCCAAGUCGCUGCAGCAGCGAGAGGCCGAAUAUGCUGAGGCCCGGCAGCGAAUAUUGGGUAGCAGUGGUCUACUGGAGAAGACGACGGGACCAGACAGGGCGGCGCCGCCGGUGGAGCUGCUGCGCAGCAGGGAGGCGGCAGCGGUAACCCGUCUGCCGCGUGGCCCGGACGACACGGCCGGCUUCCAGCUGCCCAGAUAACGCCCACGCCGGCCAGCCGCCAGCUAUUUUUGUACGGAAAGCCACGCGCCCGGCAUUAGGAGGAGUCGGCAGCGGCGCCAUCUCCGACGCGUGUGACCCGGAGCGGGGUGCUCUGCGCGGCACGAGCGCCGCCGGACGCCGAUGACUGUGAUUGUGCAGGUGAUGCGGCGACGGGGGUGUGCGGUGUCGUGGUGGACGCUGGAGACACCGCGAACGGGCGUGUCUGCGCGGCCGGGUGUCCGCGCGGGCGUGCUGGAGUGAAGUGAACUGCUGAGCGUUGGAGCGGACCACGCUGUCCGGGAAGACUUAUUUUUGGUCCGCGUUUGCCGACAAAGGUCUCGGAUGUGAUUUUCUCUGCCUGGAUUUGCCGGUUGCCAAGUCCCUGGGCCACGUAACGCGCUUGGGUCCGCCUGCUCGCGCAUAUUCAGAUGUUUGUCACAUAGGUCACCGUGAUGAACUUGGCGCCAUAUCAGUAGUGGUGUGUAUUUCGGAUAGGUGGCCGCGCGCAGAUUGUAUCAGCCGCGGUUUCAGCAUCCAUUAAUCUAUGCAGCGGAGUGGCCAUUGAUAUGUGAGGGUCGGAAUUUGAUUCCUGCCGCAAUUCUGCGGCUAUGCGCUGUAUUUUUUUUCUGGCAGGUGGCUCGAUCGCCAAAUAACUUCAGUCUGAUAACUCGGGAAUAAAGAGGCCCUGCCGCACCAACUCUCAAACAUUGCCAGUGUGUCAUGCAGUUGCCUAGGAUUGUCGAUCUGUUACAACGAUUUUCUACCAGCCUGGCAUCGGUGUUUUCAUACGCCACUUUGUGGAGCACAUGCGCUUUAGCUCGCCUGAUGACAGUUCAGGAAUAAACGGAUAUUGAGUUA